AGUGAACGCUGGCGGUAGGCCUAACGCAUGCAAGUCGAACGGCAGCACAGUAAGAGCUUGCUCUUACGGGUGGCGAGUGGCGGACGGGUGAGGAAUACAUCGGAAUCUACUUUUUCGUGGGGGAUAACGUAGGGAAACUUACGCUAAUACCGCAUACGACCUACGGGUGAAAGCAGGGGAUCUUCGGACCUUGCGCGAUUGAAUGAGCCGAUGUCGGAUUAGCUAGUUGGCGGGGUAAAGGCCCACCAAGGCGACGAUCCGUAGCUGGUCUGAGAGGAUGAUCAGCCACACUGAACUGAGACACGGUCCAGACUCCUACGGGAGGCAGCAGUGGGGAAUAUUGGACAAUGGGCGCAAGCCUGAUCCAGCCAUACCGCGUGGGUGAAGAAGGCCUUCGGGUUGUAAAGCCCUUUUGUUGGGAAAGAAAAGCAGCAGGUUAAUACCCCGCUGUUCUGACGGUACCCAAAGAAUAAGCACCGGCUAACUUCGUG
rnacentral:rRNA from 1 species